CAAAGAUUCGUCAAUCGUCAAAACUCGAGGCCCAUUACCCACUCGAGUUAAGAUAACUCGGCUUAUACCAGAUGAUACAAUAUUGGCUGCAGCAGAAUCAACAGUAACGGGGGAAGAGCCAUACUGCUUGCUCCAUCCUUCAGCAUUUUUAGUAACAGCAUAAAGUGUAUUUAAUACAAUCUCGGAGUUUUCUUCCAAGAAGUAAAUAACAGCAUUUGGGCCAGCAUCAAAUGUAUAGGCAGCAAUGGUCUUUCCAGCAGUAGCAUUUAUAUUCUCAACAACUCGGAUAACCGCACGUGAAGUAUCGUUCAAGUAAAAGAUAGGGGGAAAAGUAUCAAGGCAGCACGCAUGGAAUUGAUUGGAAUCAGUCAUGGUAAGCUUCGCAAAAGUCUCAAAAUCACGCUCACGAAUGGCGGUCUUCAUUUCUUGGAUACGUUGUGGAACGAUGUUUUGAAUACGAUGUUGGAACAAGGUAGAAGAUGCAACUGUAGCUUGCAUGCCAGCUGUUGAGGAAACCCCUUUUUUGGCAGCGGACGCUACUAAAACAGCAACACGUAUUUCGGGCCAAUUUUCAACAGGUUCAACUUGAACUGCUACACUAUCAGCACCGCUAUGAAGCUCGCCCAUCUCCCAGGCUACAUAGCCCCCAAACAAGCUACGACAAGCACUUCCAGACCCCUGUCUAGCAAUGCGAGAUAAUUGAGUGGGUGUCCAUGGUAAAUCGUACAAUCUAGCGAUUGCUUCACAAAAAGCAGCAUAACCAGCAGCUGAAGAUGCCAAACCAGCAGCAGUAGGGAAGUUGUUUUCUGAAACGACAUGAAGCUUCAAUGCACCAAUCUUGUCAAGAUCAUCAUUUUCCUCUUCGAGAUCUAAUCUAGCUUUACGCAGUUCCUCUACACAGACACGAAGUCGUUUAUUGGCAAAGAUUUCCUCAGCGUUUCCAUUUAACCACAGUGUAUCAUUCUCAAACUUCUCGCUACAACUAGCUGUAGUAACAGUACGUAAGUCAUCUUGAGAAAGGGUCACACUGAUCGAGCUAUUGGUAGGCAAGUUCAAUGCCACAUCUCUCUUUCCCCAGUAUUUAAUUACUGCAAUAUUAACAGGCGCACUAACGGUGCAUUGAUAAACCUUUUUGUCCAUGUGUAUAAACAGUUAAGUAUGGUCGAAUCCAAAACUAUUCAAAUUUCAGAUUUUCUGCUUUGAGCAAAUAUACUAUGUUCCCAACUCUUCUUCAAACUAUUUCUAUUAGACUUGAAAAAGACAAAGAGAAAGCCCUCGUAUUAACACUUUUAAUAAGCGCGCUAUGCUAAUAGCUAGAUUUAUGAUACAAGUACGAUUUAGGUGUGCAUACUACCUCCAAGUUCGUUACCACACUUUACAGUGCUUUAAAACCAUUUAUGAUCAAUUCACUUAUCUCUUUAUAGAUUUUAUUGAAUUUUAGCGUACUUAAAAACAUUGUUUUUAUUGUUUUUCAACAAUUCCUUUUCUAUUAUUAAUUUACAACUUUACAAAAGAAGAAAGCUAAAAAGGAACGAAGGUUGAUUUCAACGGAAAAUUAAGACUAAACUACUUGAGAUCCCGGCUUUUCAUAACAAUCUAUCUUAUUUUCAGUUCUUGAUUUGCUCAAUGAUCAAAUUCCGUAAGAAAGAUAUUCGAACAAAUAUAAAAUAAGAGUUCUCUUUAAUAACACAUACAGCUCACCAACUUUCGACAAA